ACUGGAGUGGGUAGCCUUUCCCUUCUCCAGGGGAUCUUCCCAGCCCAGGGAUCAAACCCAGGUCUCUCGCAUUGCAGCCAGAUUCUUUACCUGCUGAGCCACAAGAGAGGCCCAAGAAUACUGGACAUUUGACAGUGAGCAUGGGGAUUCCAGUGCAGAGGAAACCAUUUCUGCUUAAUGACCCUGGCUGCAGUGAAGAUGAAAUAGAUGUGGCUUCCUCCCUCCAUCCCUUAUCCUGGCCUCAUCAGAAUCACAGCUUCUUAAGGUCAGAGAUGCCAAAGGAUGAACCCCUUCGAGUGAAAUUGCUAAGCAAAGGGCAGGCACUUUGUGAAGAUGUGUGAUGCAUAUUUCCAGUUGCUCUACAGAGAAGCUGUACCACUGUACACCAGCAAAAAAUGGGAGGGCCUUUCCUUGUGAAUCCUCACUAAUACUGCCACCUUAAAAAAACCUCAAAACAGAUCCAAACACUGUAAA
ensembl:lncRNA